rnacentral:lncRNA from 1 species
CGCCGCUGCUCCGAAAGCUGGAUCGAAGGAGCCACAGUUCCGUCGGUGACCCGACCGGAAAACCCAUUUUCCGGCAUCCCCUCGGCCGAUCCUUCCCAUUUUCGUGAUCUCCUCCUCCCCCUGAUCAUCCCCAUGUAAGUCUUUCAUCACGAUUUUGUGUGUAGAACGCUAGAUCAAGGUUUGACUUUUUCGACGUCCCUGAUUUGAUCUAGGAUCUGAUCGUGCGUCCGAGAUUUAAUCCAACUUCAAAGCUUGAUCUAGGACGAUCUAGGCCGAACCGGACUUAGCU